UUUUUUUUUUUGAAAUUGCAUGCUAUGUUUCCCAACACAGGUCCUCCCAUUUAAUGAAUGUGUGCGCAUUGAACCAGUGAGAUUAAGGCCCUGUUCGGUACCACUCCACUCCACAACUCCGGGACCGGAGUUGGUGGAGCUGCAGCUUAAAAUGGAGGAGUUGUUGUUUUCCCGCUCCGCAGAUUCCUGGAGCAGGUGAUUACUGAACAGGGACUAAAUGCCCCAAACCAUGGUUCCAUGUCCUCAUUGUCCACAUUUUUAAUCAUGCAUGGCACAAAUCACUCCUGAGAUUAAAUGCCCCAAAUCAAUGGUGCCACGUCCUCAUUUAACACCAAGUUUAUUACCAGCCCACAAUUCCUCCUCAAUCAUGCAUGGCAGCCACACCAAUAGCCCCACAAUCCCUCGACGUCCUUUUUUAAAGAUAGUUGACCGCACAAUCUCCCCACAACCCCACCUUUAAUACCCAAAUUGAUUGUGCAACGUCCUCCUUUAUUAUAAUUCCUUCCUCGUAUCCCUUUUAAUUCUCUGUUCCUUGAUUCCUGAAGUGCCUCCUUGAUGUUUCUGGCAAGUUGCAAAGCCACUUCCAAUGCAUUGGUGCUUAGAUAAGGUGCUAAGCAUAUUAAAAAGUUUAGCAUUGGUGCUUAGAUAAUGUCCACAAGGCAUAGGUGCUCCAUUUGUUGGUGCUAAGCUCCCCUCAUUUAAUGCUUUAGUAGCGAAACUAUUUCAUGCAUUGAUGAGUUUUUUUUCAUUUAAUUGCUUUUGCCUAGGUUCACGGGCUUGGCAUUGGUUCUUUCUGGGAUCACCAAACUCACCUCUCUCCUCUUUAUUACCUUGUCACAUCAGAUUUUUUGCCUACAUGGCAGCCUUAGCACCUCUACAAGGUAGAGCAUUGGGAAGGGUCUAAAGUGGUGGGAUUCAAUGUAUUGAUUCAAGGUGGGAUAUAAUCACAAUAAAAUGUUGGUUAAGCUGGUUAGUAUGGUAGUUCUCCCUCGGUAUGUGUCUACGGGAGAUGCCGAGUUCGAUCUGCCAUAGGGGCAAAAGAAAAUUCCAGCCCACAAAUGAGAUUUAGGUACGAAGGCCCACCUGGCUCUUGUGGGCUAAUGCGACGUACAAUUGUUCAUCUAAUAGAAGACAAACAAAUCAUAUUUCCUACACGCAAGCUAUGGCUAGCUUGGUGGUACGUACCCGUUGGACUUAGACUAAAGGUCUGGAGUUCGAUCAUUAUCAAACUUGUAUUCUUGUUUUUCUCAUUUAAUCAAUCUGGAAUGACGUACGAAACAGGAUGGGUGGACGGAUGAAAAACAGACCAAAUUAUGGUAGUAAGAAGCAAUACCCUCUUUAUUAGUACUAGUAAAAAUGCCCGUGCGUUGCACCGGGUGAAAAAUAAAAGAAAUUAUAUUGUUUUUUCCGCUCUAGAUUUUGCCAAAAAAAAUUAUGCCAGUCUAGAUUUUCACAUUUCACUUUUUCACUCUUAUUUUUUGACAAUUAUCACAAUUGUCAUUAUGUGGCAAAAGAAAAAUAAUUUAUUUUAUUUUUGCCACUCAUAACUUUUGAUAAUUAUCAUAGUUGUCAUUCCCAAUUAUCACAAUUGCCAUUCAGAAAAAUUUGCUUUUGCUACGGGAAUGGCAAUUGUGAUAAUUGUCAAAAGCUAAGAGUGGCAAAACUGAAAAUGUCAAAAUCUAAAGUGGCAUAAUGAAAAUUGGCAAAAUCUUGACUGGCAAAAUAAAAAUAAUUCCCGAAAAUAAAAUACAACCUGCUCCACGUGCCAUUAUGCAGCAUUUUUUUAAUCCAAUUUUUGAAAUCCUCGGAAAUAAGGUUACACUUUGGACCAUGAAAUUUGGACGUACCCUAACAACAUUCGUCGUGACCUAUUUUAGCUCCGCACUUUCAUUUUGUCCUCGUGAGGGCAAAAUUUCUUCUCCCUUAAGUAAUAAUUAUUUUUUUCUAAUAUUUCACUCACAUAUAUUUUAGUUACUAUUAUAUAAUGAUAAUUUAUUUGUGAUAUAUGGUCUGCAUGCCCAAUAAAUUACUAUUAUAUAAUGAUAAUUUAUUUAUGAUAUACGGUCGGCAUGCCCAAUAAACUAUGAUGGUACCAAGAAAUCAUUAUCGGAGCUCACCGGAACAAAUUAUUUUGUAAUUUUUUAUAGGGAAAUUCUUUUAUAAUGCUAGCUCGUAGAGCAACAUCUAGCUGCUUCUAGUAAUGCACCACAACAUCUAGUAGUAGCAGCUCGUUAAAAAAAGCAGUAGGGACAGCACCGAUUUCCAGAAUUCAUCGUCUCACCGCCCAGUAGAUGCCCCUUCUCUUGUCCACACAUUGCUAUUCCUCCAAGCCCACAUCACUUAGUGCUACUUCGCCUCCAUCUUCGUUCUUCUGCUACCUCAACACCCAGCUCUGCUCCUACUCUUCCUCAGCUCCCUCCUACCAACGCCCGGUCGUGCUCCACUCCCAGCUAUGACGGCCACAUGAGCUCCACCCGCACCAACACGAGACGACGAAGCUGACGUCCCGUGCUCCGUAUACCUUCGUCUGCUCAUGAUUCGACCUCCUAUUACUCCACAACGACACCAACCCAUACUCCCUUCCCCUCCACAGCCAAGCAACCGCUGCAUCAGGCACGGGUACGCAUGCCGACUGCCUGAUCUGGUAUGGAUGCGCGCGGUAGCUCCUCCCACCCCUGAUCUUUCCUUGGCAAGCUCACAUCUCCACCUGGUCCGCAACAGGAGACGCCGCGCUGGGUGUUGUAGCUACGGAGGUCAUCGAUUGGUCGAAGGACGCCCAGUGGCAGUGGGAAGUGACCCGAGGCGAGGUGGAGUCAGCAAGGCGGCAGAGGUUGGGCCAAAAAUCUCUUUUCUAUGUUCUCCGCGUACACAAAACUGAUUAUCUCCUUCUCGUAUCCUGCAGUGGCGAGAUUCGGGAUCGAUGGAUCCGACUCCCGACGCUGCGAGCCCGUGUUGCCCAGAUCUUGACGACGGCGAGCCGAGGUUGCCUACGGGCGGCAGGCGGCGCUCCCGUGGCGAGGAUGGCGGGGCCUGGUCGGAUCCGGGCGGAUCUGGCCGGGAUGGAUCUAUUUCGGACGGAUUUGGCUUGGAGGCGGCCGGAUCUGGCGAGAUUGAGGGCCGAUGGCGCCAUGGUCCUCCUGGAGAUCCCUGCUCACCGAGAAAGAGAGACAGAGGUGAGAGGAGAUCAAGAUGAAGGAGGAGAUGGGCGAGGCGGCGGAGCGGCCGGAGCUCCGGCGGCGGGGCACGGUGGAGGUGUGGGGUCGCCGGCGAGGUGGCUUGCGGGUGCGAGGGGAGCUGGGCGAGGCGGCGGAGCGGCCGGAGCUCCGGCGGCGGGGCACGGUGGAGGUGUGGGGGCGCCGGCGAGGUGGCUUGCGGGUGCGAGGGGAGCUCGGGUAGGAGGAAGCUGCGGGAGGCGGAGCGGUCCAGUUCGGGCUGGAUUUCUAGGGUUAUUUAUGUAAAACUGAAAGUUUUCUUAGAAUCCACUAAAGAAAGGACUACGNN
rnacentral:lncRNA from 1 species